rnacentral:tRNA from 1 species
AAGACACUAGUAAAGUAUUUAUACUGCCUUGUCAAGGCAGAGUCGUGGGUUAAAACCCCGCGUGUCUUA